GCAGUUUCAUUGAUGCAAAGCUUAAUUGUACAUGUAACAAAAAGAGAUUUGCUUUCAUCAUUUAUGGUGGUAACAGAAGGAAAUAUGAACACAAUAUCUCAUGAAAUUAGGGGUUAAGUUUUAAUCUUGGUUAUUAUGUCUUUACCUUAAGCACUGGGAGACAUACUGCUCAAGUUGUAUUUCUUCUCUUGCUUUUAAUAAGCUCGUUUAUUGGACAUAUUAUGGUAAUUGGUUGUCUGUCUGUUGCCAACAUGUCACCAUUAAUUCAAAAACACUUUAACCAAUUUGCAUAAAACUUUGGGGAAACAUUCAUACAUUUGUGUAAAUACCACAGUCAUAUCCAUUCAGCCGUGUCAAUACCACAGUCACACCCAUUCAGCUGUGUGAAAACCACAGUCAUAUACAUUCAGCCAUGUAAAUACCACAGUCACACCAAUUCAGCUAUGUGAAUACCAGAGUCAUAUCCAUUCAGCUGUGUAAAUACCACAGUCACACCCAUUCAGCUGUGUAAAUACCA
rnacentral:lncRNA from 1 species